rnacentral:piRNA from 1 species
UUCGCGAGGAGAAGGCUGUUGGUGAAUUGU